GGGGCUAUAAUCUAACUUGGUUAGGAUACGACCCUUGGGAGGUUGAGGUCUGGGUUCAAAUCCCAGUAGCCCCA
rnacentral:tRNA from 1 species